GUGAUUGCUUUGGCAGCACAUAUACUAAAAUUGGAAUGAUACAGGGAAGAUUAGCAUGGCCCCUGCACAAGGAUGACACGCAAAAUCAUGAAGCAUACCAUAUUUAA
rnacentral:snRNA from 1 species